CCAAGAUUGGGGGCCUAAAGCAAUGGCUUUAAACCUUAUCCUUCGGCCAGCCCUGGUAACAUCUUGUUCUCCAAUCUAAACAACGGAGAUCGUGCUUCGAGAUUUUUAGCUACAUAUAUUGAGCAACAAACUGUAGCUCGUGUUGGGGGAGCAUUGAAGAAACAAUAAAAUUAUCUCUAUGUGACCUAUAACCAACAUGCUUGAGGUAUGGAAUCAACCACUUAUACAUACCUUAGGGUAGGUUGCAUACAUCACACCAUUUGGUAUGCAACCCUUCUCGGACCAAAUGCAGGAUACUUUGGGUGCGGGAUUGCCUUUAUGAUGGAUGGACCAAUUGUUUGGCUUCAAAGAGUUAAUACGCAUCUUACUUUUUGAGUUAAAAAUCGUUUUGAGCACACAAAAAAGUGACAUUAUGUUGCAUACAAGUUGAAAAAGAAGAUAAAAGAAAGGCAAAGACUAAGUAGAACUAAAUAGGGAUGAACUCAAAAUACUAAAGAGCAAUUGCUAAGUUGCACAAAUUCAGAACAGCGAGCCAUUGCUACGACAACUAAUAUACAACGUACAACUGGACUUUGAAAUUGAGCAUAGCUGAUCUUGAGAGCAACAACUGUCUCCCGCUUCACUUUAUCGUCAGCUCUCAGGACUCAGACUUUGGAGUCGGUCCUAACGACGGCUAGUAGAUUGCUCUGAUCCGAUGCUUGACGGAGACUUGAGGUACAGUUGCACGGCGUUCGCAGCCCUGAAGUCCCCUUCUACAUUACUCUAGUUGUUUAUUUCAUUUCAGACAGUUAUGCUUUCAUUCAGACUAUUAUUUGUAGUGCUCUAGUCACUCGUAUAUUUGUGACACUAGUUGUGGGAUUAUAUCUAGAUAUCGCUGUUAUUUUA